AUUGAACGCUGGCGGCAUGCUUUACACAUGCAAGUCGAACGGUAACAGGCCUUCGGGUGCUGACGAGUGGCGAACGGGUGAGUAAUGCAUCGGAACGUGCCCAGAGGUGGGGGAUAACGCAGCGAAAGCUGUGCUAAUACCGCAUGUGAUCUGAGGAUGAAAGCGGGGGACCAGGCAGCAAUGUUUGGCCUCGCGCCUUUGGAGCGGCCGAUGUCAGAUUAGGUAGUUGGUGGGGUAAAGGCCUACCAAGCCGACGAUCUGUAGCUGGUCUGAGAGGACGACCAGCCGCACUGGGACUGAGACACGGCCCAGACUCCUACGGGAGGCAGCAGUGGGGAAUUUUGGACAAUGGGCGCAAGCCUGAUCCAGCAAUGCCGCGUGCGGGAAGAAGGCCUUCGGGUUGUAAACCGCUUUUGUACGGAACGAAAAGGCUCUGGCUAAUACCUGGGGCUGAUGACGGUACCGUAAGAAUAAGCACCGGCUAACUACGUG
rnacentral:rRNA from 1 species